rnacentral:rRNA from 1 species
GAUGAACGCUGGCGGCGUGCCUAAUACAUGCAAGUCGAGCGAAUGGAUUAAGAGCUUGCUCUUAUGAAGUUAGCGGCGGACGGGUGAGUAACACGUGGGUAACCUGCCCAUAAGACUGGGAUAACUCCGGGAAACCGGGGCUAAUACCGGAUAACAUUUUGGACUGCAUGGUUCGAAAUUGAAAGGCGGCUUCGGCUGUCACUUAUGGAUGGACCCGCGUCGCAUUAGCUAGUUGGUGAGGUAACGGCUCACCAAGGCAACGAUGCGUAGCCGACCUGAGAGGGUGAUCGGCCACACUGGGACUGAGACACGGCCCAGACUCCUACGGGAGGCAGCAGUAGGGAAUCUUCCGCAAUGGACGAAAGUCUGACGGAGCAACGCCGCGUGAGUGAUGAGGGCUUUCGGGUCGUAAAACUCUGUUGUUAGGGAAGAACAAGUGCUAGUUGAAUAAGCUGGCACCUUGACGGUACCUAACCAGAAAGCCACGGCUAACUACGUGCCAGCCGCCGCAGUAA